rnacentral:rRNA from 1 species
GAUGAACGCUGGCGGCGUGCCUAAUACAUGCAAGUCGAGCGAACAGAUAAGGAGCUUGCUCCUUUGACGUUAGCGGCGGACGGGUGAGUAACACGUGGGUAACCUACCUAUAAGACUGGAAUAACUCCGGGAAACCGGGGCUAAUGCCGGAUAACAUUUAGAACCGCAUGGUUCUAAAGUGAAAGAUGGUUUUGCUAUCACUUAUAGAUGGACCCGCGCCGUAUUAGCUAGUUGGUAAGGUAACGGCUUACCAAGGCAACGAUACGUAGCCGACCUGAGAGGGUGAUCGGCCACACUGGAACUGCGACACGGUCCAGACUCCUACGGGAGGCAGCAGUAGGGAAUCUUCCGCAAUGGGCGAAAGCCUGACGGAGCCACGCCGCGUGAGUGAUGAAGGUCUUCGGAUCGUAAAACUCUGUUAUUAGGGAAGAACAAAUGUGUAAGUAACUGUGCACGUCUUGACGGUACCUAAUCAGAGAGCCACGGCUAACUACGUG